UUUUUCCUACGGGGCGCAGCAGUAGGGAAUCUUCCACAAUGGGCGCAAGCCUGAUGGAGCAACACCGCGUGAGUGAAGAAGGGUUUCGGCUCGUAAAGCUCUGUUGUUGGAGAAGAACGUGCGUGAGAGUAACUGUUCACGCAGUGACGGUAUCCAACCAGAAAGUCACGGCUAACUACGUGCCAGCAGCCGCGGGAAUACGUAGGUGGCAAGCGUUAUCCGGAUUUAUUGGG
rnacentral:rRNA from 1 species